rnacentral:rRNA from 1 species
UUAGUAGCAGCUUGUGCAGUUGAUGCACAUAGUUUUGUAUUUCCAGUUGCGUACGGUGUGCUGGAGACAGAGUCUGAGGAGAGCUGGACUUGGUUUUUGCAUAAUCUGCGCCGGGCUAUUGCACAUCCCAAUGGGUUGGUCAUUCAUAUAGAUGCCUGCAAAGGUUUAGAAGUGGCCGUGGACAAUGUGUUCCCUGGAGUAGAGCAUAGGGAAUGCAUGCGUCACCUUGCUGCAAAUUUCAUGAAGAAAUUCAAAGGAAAGGUGUAUACCGACAAUUUAUGGCCAACAUCUUUGACUUGCAGUGUGAAGAAGCACAACUACCACUUGAGGCAGUUAUACAUGAAUCCCAAAGUGAAAGAAUAUUUGAAAACACACCACUCCAAGGAAUAG